rnacentral:rRNA from 1 species
UCGGGAAUUUUGGGCAAUGGGCGAAAGCCUGACCCAGCAACGCCGCGUGAAGGAUGAAGUAUUUCGGUAUGUAAACUUCGUAAGAAUAGGAAGAAUAAAUGACGGUACUAUUUGUAAGGUCCGGCUAACUACGUGCCAGCAGCCGCGGUAAUACGUAGGGACCAAGCGUUGUUCGGAUUUACUGGGCGUAAAGGGCGCGUAGGCGGCAAUUCAAGUCAUCUGUGAAAUCUCCGGGCUUAACUCGGAACGGUCAGAUGAUACUGCUUUGCUAGAGUGCAGAAGGGGCAAUCGGAAUUCUUGGUGUAGCGGUGAAAUGCGUAGAUAUCAAGAGGAACACCUGAGGUGAAGACGGGUUGCUGGGCUGACACUGACGCUGAGGCGCGAAAGCCAGGGGAGCAAACAGGAUUAGAUACCCCCGUAGUCCCUGAGCGGGCUGGCAAGGCGCAU